rnacentral:rRNA from 1 species
UGGGGAAUCUUGCGCAAUGGAGGAAACUCUGACGCAGCGACGCCGCGUGGGUGAAGAAGGCCUUCGGGUUGUAAAGCCCUGUCGGAAGGGACAAACGGCUAUUGUGCUAAUACCACAGUAGCGUGAUGGUACCUUACGAGGAAGCACCGGCUAACUCUGUGCCAGCAGCCGCGGUAAUACAGAGGGUGCAAGCGUUGUUCGGAAUUAUUGGGCGUAAAGGGCAAGUAGGUGGUCUUGUAAGUCUACUGUGAAAUCCCCAAGCUUAACUUGGGAAGUGCGGUAGAUACUGCUUGACUAGAGUGCCGGAGGGGUGCGCGGAAUACUCGGUGUAGCGGUGAAAUGCGUAGAUAUCGAGUGGAAUAUCAGAGGCGAAGGCGGCGCACUGGACGGUAACUGACAC